rnacentral:rRNA from 1 species
GAUGAACGCUGGCGGCGUGCCUAAUACAUGCAAGUCGAGCGAACAGACGAGGAGCUUGCUCCUCUGACGUUAGCGGCGGACGGGUGAGUAACACGUGGAUAACCUACCUAUAAGACUGGGAUAACUUCGGGAAACCGGAGCUAAUACCGGAUAAUAUAUUGAACCGCAUGGUUCAAUAGUGAAAGACGGUUUUGCUGUCACUUAUAGAUGGAUCCGCGCCGCAUUAGCUAGUUGGUAAGGUAACGGCUUACCAAGGCAACGAUGCGUAGCCGACCUGAGAGGGUGAUCGGCCACACUGGAACUGAGACACGGUCCAGACCCCUACGGGAGGCAGCAGUAGGGAAUCUUCCGCAAUGGGCGAAAGCCUGACGGAGCAAUGCCGCGUGAGUGAUGAAGGUCUUCGGAUCGUAAAACUCUGUUAUUAGGGAAGAACAAAUGUGUAAGUAACUAUGCACGUCUUGACGGUACCUAAUCAGAAAGCCACGGCUAACUACGUG